CCUACGGGUGGCAGUGAGGAAUAUUGGUCAAUGGCCGGAAGGCUGAACCAGCCAUGCCGCGUGAAGGUCAGUGCCCUCUGGGCGUUAAACUUCUUUUGUGCGGGAGCAAUAAUGGUCCCGUGUGGCCAGACUAGAGUACCGUCCGUAUAGGCAUCGGCUAACUCCGGGCCCGCAGCCGCGGUAAUCCGGGGGAUGCAAGCGUUAUCCGGGUUUAUUGGGGUUAAAGGGUGCGUAGGCUGGGAGGUCAGUCGGUGGGGGAAUGCCGCGGGUCAGCGGGGGGAAGUGCCAUUGAUCAUGCCUUGGUGGAGGGCGGAUGCGGGGGGAGGAAUGUGUGGUGUAGCGGUGAAAUGCGUAGAGA
rnacentral:rRNA from 1 species